rnacentral:lncRNA from 1 species
GGCAACCCGUUGGGGUCCCCUUCCCCAAUGUGGAAGCUUUGUUCUUUCGCUCUUUGCAAUAAAUCCUUCUGCUGCUCACUCUUUGGGCCCACACUGCCUUUAUGAGCUGUAACACUCACCGCGAAGUUCUGCAGCUUCACUCCUGAGCCAGCAAGACCACGAACCCACCAGAAGGAAGAAACUCCGAACACAUCCGAACUUCAGAAGGAACAAACUCCAGACGCGCCACCUUAAGAGCUGUAACACUCAACGCGAGGGUCCGUGGCUUCAUUCUUGAAGUCAGUGAGACCAAGAGCCCACCAAUUCCAGACACAUGUUGACUGAUGUCUCAUGUCUCCCUAAAAUGUAUAAAACCAAGCUGUGCCCCUACCACCUUAGGCACAUGUUGUCAGGACCUCCUGAGGCUGUCAUGGGCACAUGUCCUCAACCUUGGCAAGAUAAACUUUCUAAAUUAACUGAGACUUGUCUCAGACUUUGGGGGUUCAUAUUUUGGCAACCACGAAGGGAUUAUAUGUGGAGAUGCCCCUGACCUUAGGCAAAUCUCCUAUCAGUGCUUGGUACCAGCCUGAGCUAACUUUAUGGCUCAAACCAAUAGGACAAUUUGUUGAGGUCUGGAAGCACUCCCUCCAGAGAAUCCCCAAAAUUUGCUUGAGAUCAAAAGUUUAUUUUGCUAUACAACUCCUUUUUUUUUUUUUUUUUUUUUUUUUGGAGUUUUCCUUGCUUCCAACAAGGAAGGUAGGAUUUCCUGUUUCCAUGACAAUGGAAGGCAGGUAACUGCCUUAUAGAGUUUGAGCUCACUCCCAGCAAGGAAGAUGAGUUUGAGGGUUUUUUUCCUGCUUCUAGGAUGGUAGAAAGCAGUCUUCAGCCUGAGACCCAUUCCUAGGUGCUCUUGAGUACAAGUUUCUGAUAACUUUGGAGAUUGUGACAUCAGAAUAGAGGAAAAACUUUUAGGACUCAUGGAGAAGUGAAAUGUUCAUGAACAUCAGGCAGAACAGGAAUUAACUGCAUGGACAGAACUAAUACAAAACUGAGGACAUGAGACUUCACAACCUGCUAAAAAUGAACUUUCCUAAUAACUGGGGACCUACCCGUCUAGGAAUAAACCAUCCUAGCCAUGACAGAUCAGAUGAAACCUGAGACCAGAGACUCAUUUUCUCCUAAAAUGCUUUCUCCAAAAGAUUUUUAAAAAGAAAAGGGGGAAAAUAUGAAUGGAAAAUAAAUCUUGGGGCCCCAACAUCACUAAGCUAAAGGGAAAAGUCAAGCUGGGAACUGCUUAGGGCCAACCUGCCUCCCAUUCUAUUCAAAGUCACCUCUCUGCUCACUGAGAUAAGUGUAUAUCUGACUGCCUCAUUUGGAGAGGCUAAUCAGAAACUCAAAAGAAUGCAACCAUUUGUCUCUUAUCUACCUAUGACCUGGAAACCCCCUCCGCACUUUGAGUUGUCCCACCUGUGAAAGGAAAAUAAAUCUUGGGGCCCCCAAAUCACUAAGCUAAAGGGAAAAGUCAAGCUGAGAACUGCUUAGGGCCAACCAUCCUCUCAUUCUAUUCACAGUCACCCCUCUGCUCACUGAGAUAGAUGCUAUCUGAUUGCCUCCUUUGGAAAGGCUAAGCAGAAACUCAAAAGAAUGCAACUUUCCAUCUCUCACCUAUCUGUGACCUGGAAGCCCAGUCCCUGCUUUGAGUCUUCCUGCCUUUGCUUCAAGCUGUCCCGCCUUUCCAGACCAAACCAAUGUACUUCUUACAUAUAUUGAUGUCUCAUGUCUCAUGUCUCCCUAAAAUGUAUAAAACUAAACUGUGCCCCUACCACCUUGGGCACAUGUCGUCAGGACUUCCUGAGGCUGUGUCAUGGGCACAUCCUCUACCCUGGCAAAAUAAACUUUCUAAAUUAACUGGGACCUACCUCAAAUUAUCUGGGUUCACACGCCUUUGCCUCGAGUUGUCCCACCUUUCCGGACUGAACCAAUGUACAUCUUAACACAUACUGAUUGAUGUCUAAUGUCUCUCUAAAAUGUAUAAAACCAAGCUGUGCUCUGACCACCUUAGGCACUUGUCAUCAGGAUCUCCUGAGGCCAUAUUAUGGGUGCACGUCCUCAACCUUGGCAAAAUAAGCUUUCUAAAUUAACUGAGACGUGUCUCAGAUUUUCGGGAUUCACAAUCUCCACUCUUCACCAAACCUACAAUAAAAAACCCUCAGCUUCUCAGCUUUAACUGUUUCUUCGGGUCUUCAUUUUCUUAUGAAGGUUCAUGUGUCACAUAAAACUUUAAAAAAUUUGUACACUUUUCUCUCAUUAAUCUGUCUUCUGUUAUAGGGCCUCAGCCAUGAACUUGGAAUGGGUAGAUUAAAAAAAAUAUUUUUCCUCCCCUACACAUUUUUUUUUUUUUUUUUGAGACGGAGUCUCAGUCUGUUGACCAGGCUCAAGUGCAAUGGCGUGGUCUUGGCUCACUGCAACCUCUGCCUCCCAGUUUAAGCAAUUAUCCUGCCUCAGCCUCCUGACUAGCUGGGACUACAGGCGCGUGCCACCACACCUGGCUAAUUUUUUUGUAUUUUUAGUAGAGAUCGGGUUUCAUCAUGUUGGCCAGGCUGGUCUUGAACUCCUGACCUCAUGAUCCGCCCGCCUCGGCCUCGCAAAGUGCUGAGAUUACAGGCGUGAGCCACCACACCUGGCCCUCCCCUACACAUUUCUAAGUAUCUUACCUGAUUUUCUAUGGCACCUUUGGGUUGCAGAACCUUAGCUGUAGGAGAAAUGGUGGUGACGGCCAAUGUCUGGCACUGACUUUAACAGAGUACAGAUGUGUAUGUAAAUAGUACUUAUUUUAACAAAAUAGAAAGUUCAAGAAAGAAAUACAGCAACAAAAGUGACAAUUAGAUUGGAAGAGACCCAUUCUUGUUUGCUUGUUUUCUCCAUAAGCCAUCUAGCUUUUUUUUUUUUUUUUGUGAGACGGUCUCACUGUCUCCCAGGCUGGAGUGCAGUGGUGCCAUCACAGCUCACCUCAGCCUUGACCUCCCAGGCUCAAGUGAUCCUCCCACCUUAGCCUCUCAAGUAGCUGGAAGUAUAGGCAUGUACCACCAUGCCCAGCUAAUUUUUUUUUAUUUUUCAUGGAGACAGGGUCUCACUAUAUUGCCCAAGCCAGUCUUGAAUUCCUGGGCUGAAGCGAUCCUCCUGCCUCAGCCUCCCAAAAUGUUGGGAUUAUAGUCAUGAGCUACCAUGCCCAGCCCUAACUCCAUUCUUAAUUGUCACUUAGCCUACACUUUCACUUCAUUGACAUUUAUAGGCUGACAACAAGCAGAUGAAGAUACCAUUGAAACAGUGCCACCACUCACCCAACUGUCCUGUCAGUCAGGAAAAGCACAUCCCCACUGGGUCUCAGAGCUCUCGGCCCGUUGUCUUUGCACUGUGUGACCACACACAAAACCAGGUAAAGUAUUUACCUGCUUUGUUCAGGAGGCUGUCCUUGGCUCUCUAGUUUCUGAUAGGACCCCAUUUUAAACUCUCAAGCCCCCUUGUCCUUGUUCUUUGAUAGUGUCAUAGCCUCUAAACAUAUCACAAUUAUUAAUAUAAUUAAAUACUUAUUUCCCUAUAGAUUUGUUUAAAGCCUGCCUUCCCCCAAGAGAUGGUCAGGUCUGAAGGCAGGUUUGUUACAGAUGACAGGCUCUUGGGCUCAUCAUGUAAUAAAAGUUAACAUGGGGACAAGCAGAUUUCCAGAAAAGGCUUUUAUCUUGGGGCUUGUGCUCGAGUGCAGGGGAGACACCAGAGGUACAAGGACCCUCAAGCUGACUCCCUGAAAAGGUGGUAGGGAUUUUUUUUAUUAGGCAAACACAGGAAUUGGUAUCAUGGGUAGGGUAUGCAGGCUGGCCUGGGCAAAGCACGUGACGGGUAGGGGAUGCUGGUUAGCGUAUCUAGUUGUGAUGGUUAUCUUGAGUAAUGGGCCACCUGGGGGUCUGGCCAGCUGUAACAAGGCUGCAAAUCAAUUGUUCAGGGUUCCUUCCCUUCCCAUGAUGGGACAUUCUGAAACCUCGGUUUGAUGUUUAGAUUUCCUAAGGCCAGUUCCUGGAAUUCUUUUAAGUAAAAGGCAUGAUUAAACAUUAUGAGAGCACAGAAGAAUGGCUAUUUUCUUUGUAAGCCUGAAGCCUUAUCUAAAACCAAUUGUCAGCAAGGCAGGGGUGUGGGUCUUGUGAUCAGUGAGACAAGAAGAAAAAAAAAAACGUGAAAAAGGAACUGAGUUCCUUUUCUAUUCUAUCUGAGGUUACUCCCCACUGCACCCCCGGCACCUGACAUUGUGAGAGGCAUUUGAACCAGAGUGACUCCAUCUUGAAUAGGGGCUGGGUAAAAUGAAUCUGAGACCUACUGGGCUGCAUUCCCAGGAGGUUAGGCAUUCUUAGUCACAGGAUGAGAUAGGAGGUUGGCAGGACUGGUAUCACAAGAUACAGGUCAUAAAAACUCUGACCAUAAAACAAGAUGUGGUAUAGAAGCCAGCCAAAACCAAGAUGGUGAGAAAAGUGACCUCUAGUCAUCCUCACUGCUCAUUAUACUCAAAUUAUAAUGCAUUAGCAUGCUUAAAGAAAUUUCCACUAGCACCAUGACAGCUUACAAAUGCCAUGGCAGUGUUCAGAAGUUACCCUAUAUAGUCUAAAAAGGGGAGGAACCCUCAGUUCCAGGAAUUCCCCACCCCUUUCCCAGAAAACUCAUGAAUGAUCUACCCUUUAUUUAGCAUAUGAUCAAGAAAUAACCAUAAGUAUACCCAGUCAGCAGCGCGUGCCGCUGCUGUGUCUAUGGAGUAGCCAUUCUUUUGUCUCUUUUACUUCUCUAAUAAACUUUAUUCUAUGAAUUUGCCCCCAAAUUCUUUCUUGCGCAAGAUCCAAGAACCCUCUUUUGGGGUCUGGACUGGGACCCCUAUCACCAUGCCUGGCUCAAGAAACAUUUGUUGAGUAAUGAUUUAUAGUGACUUUCUAUGUGCUCAUGUCUCACUCUUGUUCCAGUACCUGUAUGCUAAGCAGCCAUGCUACUGUCCUUCUGUGCUUCCCUACAUUCCAAGUUCAAGGGGACAGGAUGGUUUAUUGUUUCUUAAGUGCUUGUCUUUCUGGUCCUGUUUACAUGCAUCAUUAGCCCACAGGAAAGCACUCUGUUACAAAUGACUUUAGAAAUCACAAUCAUUAAAAUUGAAAACUUCCAUUUAAGCCAGACUACCCCUUUGUGAUGUUAAAAGUGUUGCCUCUGAGCUUCCAACCCCCUCUCUAUGAGGCCUAUUCCAGCUUUUAACCUACCGUGGGUGCGGGCUUUUCAUUUGGAGCCUCUUGUGAUCUUCAAGCUGUAAUUUUCGCAAGCAGGGCCCUAAAGCUCUUUAAUUUUUUUGUUUACCAGAAUUACUCAUUUCAUUUUUGUAUGUGCUUGGUAGAUGAAUUUUCUGUGGCAUCUUACAAAAUAAGGCCAUAAUACCUUAUGGCAUUAAAAAAAAGUUGGGGGGGGAGCAAAACCACCACA